GGGGGCGUAGCUCAGUUGGUUAGAGCGCCACCUUGACAUGGUGGAGGUCAUAGGUUCGAGUCCUACCGUUCCCACCA
rnacentral:tRNA from 1 species